rnacentral:rRNA from 1 species
GCAGUCGAACGGGGCCACCAUUUUUGAAGCGAUUAGCUUGCUAAGAGUGGACAUGUUGGCGGCUUAGUGGCGGACGGGUGAGUAACGCGUGGGUAACCUGCCUUGCACUGGGGGAUAACACUUAGAAAUAGGUGCUAAUACCGCAUAAGCGCACGGAGCUGCAUGGCUCAGUGUGAAAAACUCCGGUGGUGCAAGAUGGACCCGCGUCUGAUUAGCUUGUUGGCGGGGUAACGGCCCACCAAGGCGACGAUCAGUAGCCGGCCUGAGAGGGUGGACGGCCACAUUGGGACUGAGACACGGCCCAAACUCCUACGGGAGGCAGCAGUGGGGAAUAUUGGACAAUGGGGGGAACCCUGAUCCAGCGACGCCGCGUGAGUGAAGAAGUAUCUCGGUACGUAAAGCUCUAUCAGCAGGGAAGAAAGAAAUGACGGUACCUGACCAAGAAGCCCCGGCUAACUACGUGCCAGCAGCCGCGGUAAUACGUAGGGGGCAAGCGUUAUCCGGAUUUACUGGGUGUAAAGGGAGCGUAGACGGUAAUGCAAGUCUGGAGUGAAAUGCAGGGGCUCAACCCCUGAACUGCUUUGGAAACUGUAUGACUGGAGUGCAGGAGAGGUAAGUGGAAUUCCUAGUGUAGCGGUGAAAUGCGUAGAUAUUAGGAGGAACACCAGUGGCGAAGGCGGCUUACUGGACUGUAACUGACGUUGAGGCUCGAAAGCGUGGGGAGCAAACAGGAUUAGAUACCCUGGUAGUCCACGCCGUAAACGAUGAUCACUAGGUGUCGGUGGGUAUGGACCCAUCGGUGCCGCAGCAAACGCAGUAAGUGAUCCACCUGGGGAGUACGU